GCUGCAGGAGCCUUGCGUUCCGCAGCAGGGAAACUUUGUUUUCCGCAGUGUUUACGCUGAUCAGACCUAAGAAAAGCUGAAAUGCGCUUCCUGUGCCAGUGCCCGCCCCUAGGCUGUAGCUGCUUGCCAGUAGGAAGAAGAGCCUGUCUCCUCAAGGACACGGAACCAGUCGCCAGAUUCCUAUUUUGGGCCAGAGUCGUCUGUCUGCUACCUUUGAACCGUUUCUGCAGCAAACAUGGCCGCCUUCGUGAAGCUCAGUACCAAAGCCAAGAUGCCCAUUGUGGGCCUGGGCACCUGGAAGUCUCCCCCAGAUAAAGUCAAGGAAGCUGUGAAGGCAGCCAUUGAUGGUGGGUAUUGCCACUUUGACUGUGCCUAUGUGUAUCAGAACGAGAGUGAGGUGGGAGAAGCCAUCCAAGAGAAGAUCAAAGAGAAGGCUGUGAGGAGGGAGGACCUCUUCAUCGUCAGCAAGCUGUGGCCCACCUUCUUUGAGAAAAGCCUGGUGAAGAAAGCCUUCCAGAAAACCCUCUUGGAUCUGAAGCUGGACUAUCUGGACCUGUAUCUAAUUCACUGGCCACAGGGAUUUCAGUCUGGAAAUGUCUUUUUACCCACAGAUGAUAAAGGCAAUGUUCUCGCCAGUAAAUAUACAUUCUUGGAUGCUUGGGAGGGCAUGGAGGAACUGGUGGACCAGGGGCUGGUGAAAGCUCUGGGCGUCUCCAACUUCAACCACUUCCAGAUCGAAAGGCUCCUGAACAAGCCUGGACUGAAACAUAAGCCAGUGACCAACCAGGUCGAGUGCCACCCUUACCUCACCCAGGAAAAACUGAUUCAGUACUGUCACUCCAAGGGCAUCGUGGUCACAGCCUACAGUCCCCUGGGCUCCCCAGACAGGCCUAGUGCCAAGCCUGAGGACCCUGUAUUGCUGGAGAUUCCCAAGAUUAAAGAAAUUGCUUUGAAGCACAAGAAAACUGCAGCCCAGGUUCUGAUCCGGUUCCAUAUAGAGAGGAACGUGGCCGUGAUCCCCAAGUCUGUGACACCCUCCCGCAUACAAGAGAACAUUCAGGUCUUUGACUUCCAAUUGAGUGAGGAGGACAUGGCUGCCAUUCUCAGCCUCAACAGGAACUGGAGGGCCUGUGGCCUGUUUGCGGCAAGUCGUAAUGAGGACUUCCCUUUCCACGCGGAAUACUGAAGCUGAAUUACCUGAUGCGUUCCCGUGGAGGACACUCUUCACUGAUUUCCAACCUACCCCUCCUGAAUCCUAUUUCUUGCCAAGCCUAUUGGAUAUCAUACCGGGCCAGCCGUGAUAGGGAUUGGCCGUCUCUUCCUGCUGCUGCCGACCUUGGAAUGACCUCGUACCCUCUUGAUUGAUGUCCCAGCUCUUCCAUCAAGGUUUCAGAUGGGUGAUGCACCCUGGUGAAGCUCUGAUGGUUCUUUCCUUGACCUUUUCUGACUUGUGGUAGUUAUCAGAAUCCCCAAGGCUUUUUGCUUUGUAGCUGUUCCAGUUUCGCGUCUCCAUCUGCCUUCCCAUGACAUUCUGAUACUCGUCAUUGGAUUGAUGAGCCACCUUCACCUUCCCUCCGGCCAAGACAAUAGCUGCGCUACCUUAGAGGGAAGCAGGUUUGUGAGAAUAAAACUACCCUCAAGGCUAGCCCCUUCUCUAAGAAACUCUUUUUUACUGGGCUAUGGUAAACCUCACUUGGGAGGCAGAGACCAGCCUUAUCUAAGGAGUGAGUUCCAGGACAGCCAGGGCAACACAGAGAACCCCUGUGUCCAAGGAAAA